GAGCAGGGCUUGUUAUAAGCUUUUCAGUUACAUUGAAGUGAAAUUAAUAUUUAAUUGUUUU
rnacentral:tRNA from 1 species